UACAGAGGGUGCAAGCGUUAAUCGGAAUUACUGGGCGUAAAGCGCGCGUAGGUGGGUAAUUAAGUUGGAUGUAAAAGCCCUGGGCUUAACCUAGGAAUGUCAUCCAAUACUGGUUAUCUAGAGUACGGUAGAGGGAAGUGGAAUUUCCGGUGUAGCGGUGAAAUGCGUAGAUAUCGGAAGGAACACCAGUGGCGAAGGCGACUUCCUGGACUGAUACUGACACUGAGGCGCGAAAGCGUGGGGAGCAAACAGG
rnacentral:rRNA from 1 species